rnacentral:rRNA from 1 species
CACGUAGGGGGCAAGCGUUGUCCGGAUUUAUUGGGCGUAAAGGGCUCGUAGGCGGUUCGACAAGUCGGGUGUGAAACCUCCAGGCUCAACCUGGAGACGCCGCUCGAAACUGUUGUGACUAGAGUCCGGUAGAGGAGUAUGGAAUUCCUGGUGUAGAGGUGGAAUGCGCAGAUAUCAGGAGGAACACCAGUAGCGAAGGCGAUACUCUGGGCCGGUACUGACGCUGAGGAGCGAAAGCAUGGGGAGCGAACAGG